GUUUCUCCUUCGUGUGCCUUCUGAGGCUUUCCUCUGUGACUGAGGAGCUCUGUGGUUACGUAUGUAAUACCUCCACUGGGGGGCGCUCCAGCUUAUUCGGUUUUCUGCUGUUCAGCAGAGAAAGUUUUCCUCUGACAACUGAUGAGUCAUCAGCAGCUGGUUUUCUGAUUGGCUGCUGGAGGAUUUUUACUUUCUGUUUCUAUUCAUAGAAGAAGUGACAGCAUGUGGUCAACCAACACACACACACCCAUCCUUGUCUUUGUGAUGUUGUAAGGACACAUGACCAGAGAAUGCGUGGUGGGGACCGCCCUUUUUUGGUUAUGAACACUGCUGUGACGUUUGUGUCUUACAAAAACAGUGACAGAGAUAAUCUGUGAUAUCGUCCAUCAUCCUCUCUUGGUGGCGCUGUCACUUGGUGUUCGCUCGCUUUGUGCAUGUCUUUAUCCUGUUUUCCUUCUUCACCCCAACCAAUCACAGCAGAUGGCCCCGCCCCUCCCUGAGCCUGGUUCUGCCGGAGGUUUCUUCCUGUUAAAAGGGAGUUUUUCCUUCCCACUGUCGCCAAAGUGCUUGCUCAUAGGGGGUCAUAUGAUUGUUGGGUUUUUCUCUGUAUCUAUGAAGCGCCUUGAGGCGACUUUUGUUGUGAUUUGGCGCUAUAUAAAUAAAAUUGAAUUGAAUGAUAAUGAGAGACUGUAAUGGUCCAGAAGCACACAUAAACUCACCAACACACACACACACACGCACAGAGGAAUAUGUUCAUUAGCAAACAUGUUAUAAACAUGUGUUGUAUUUAAAUCCGUGAGGUGGAAGAUUCAGACUCUCUGUGUGUGAUCUGAUUUUAGAUGAUUUCAGCUGCUCCAGUCAGAAAUAGGACUGUGGCACUUAUACUGCAGUAAAGGAUCAGAGUACCUCACCCUCUGCUGCUGUCCAGCUUUAUCUACUAACUGCUGACUGACUGAUCAGCUGUUACAGUGUGGAUCCAGCAGGGGGCGUCUGACUCUGUGUGUCUCUGCUGCUGUUCAUGUAAAAACUUCUGCCUGUAGUAACAGCUGACACAGCAGCAGCUGCUUUUCUGAUUGGCUGUUUGAGGUUUCUACUUUCUACUUUCUGUUUUUGUCCCAACAAAGUGACAGCAUGUGUCAGCACGCACGCACACACACACAGAGAGAAACACAGAAACAAACACUCACAUGCUCUGAUUCAGGUGUCGCUUUUGUUGAUACUGAUUUUGUUUUAUUUUCUUAACUGAAGGCCGAUAAAAUCAAC
ensembl:lncRNA